AACGAACGCUGGCGGCAGGCUUAACACAUGCAAGUCGAACGCCCCGCAAGGGGAGUGGCAGACGGGUGAGUAACGCGUGGGAAUCUACCGUACCCUACGGAACAACAGUUGGAAACGACUGCUAAUACCGUAUACGCCCUACGGGGGAAAGAUUUAUCGGGGUAUGAUGAGCCCGCGUUGGAUUAGCUAGUUGGUGGGGUAAAGGCCUACCAAGGCGACGAUCCAUAGCUGGUCUGAGAGGAUGAUCAGCCACAUUGGGACUGAGACACGGCCCAAACUCCUACGGGAGGCAGCAGUGGGGAAUAUUGGACAAUGGGCGCAAGCCUGAUCCAGCCAUGCCGCGUGAGUGAUGAAGGUCUUAGGAUUGUAAAGCUCUUUCACCGAUGAAGAUAAUGACGGUAGUCGGAGAAGAAGCCCCGGCCAACUUCGUGCCAGCAGCCGCGGUAA
rnacentral:rRNA from 1 species